rnacentral:rRNA from 1 species
UACGUAGGUCCCGAGCGUUGUCCGGAUUUAUUGGGCGUAAAGCGAGCGCAGGUGGUUUAUUAAGUCUGGUGUAAAAGGUAGUGGCUCAACUAUUGUAUGCAUUGGAAACUGGUAGACUUGAGUGCAGGAGAGGAGAGUGGAAUUCCAUGUGUAGCGGUGAAAUGCGUAGAUAUAUGGAGGAACACCGGUGGCGAAAGCGGCUCUCUGGUCUGUAACUGACACUGAGGCUCGAAAGCGUGGGGAGCAAACAGG